AGCUAGAGUUUGAUCCUGGCUCAGAGCGAACGCUGGCGGCAGGCUUAACACAUGCAAGUCGAGCGGGCGUAGCAAUACGUCAGCGGCAGACGGGUGAGUAACGCGUGGGAACGUACCUUUUGGUUCGGAACAACACAGGGAAACUUGUGCUAAUACCGGAUAAGCCCUUACGGGGAAAGAUUUAUCGCCGAAAGAUCGGCCCGCGUCUGAUUAGCUAGUUGGUGAGGUAAUGGCUCACCAAGGCGACGAUCAGUAGCUGGUCUGAGAGGAUGAUCAGCCACAUUGGGACUGAGACACGGCCCAAACUCCUACGGGAGGCAGCAGUGGGGAAUAUUGGACAAUGGGCGCAAGCCUGAUCCAGCCAUGCCGCGUGAGUGAUGAAGGCCCUAGGGUUGUAAAGCUCUUUUGUGCGGGAAGAUAAUGACGGUACCGCAAGAAUAAGCCCCGGCUAACUUCGUGCCAGCAGCCGCGGUAAUGCCCAAUCGCC
rnacentral:rRNA from 1 species